UAAGCAUAUCAAUAAGCGGAGGAAAAGAAACCAACCGGGAUUGCCUCAGUAACGGCGAGUGAAGCGGCAAGAGCUCAAAUUUGAAAGCUGGCCCCUUCGGGGUCCGCGUUGUAAUUUGCAGAGGAUGCUUCGGGUGCGGCCCCUGUCUAAGUGCCCUGGAACGGGCCGUCAGAGAGGGUGAGAAUCCCGUCUUGGGCAGGGUGCCCGUGCCCGUGUGAAGCUCCUUCGACGAGUCGAGUUGUUUGGGAAUGCAGCUCUAAAUGGGUGGUAAAUUUCAUCUAAAGCUAAAUACCGGCCGGAGACCGAUAGCGCACAAGUAGAGUGAUCGAAAGAUGAAAAGCACUUUGAAAAGAGAGUUAAACAGCACGUGAAAUUGUUGAAAGGGAAGCGCUUGCGACCAGACUCGGCCCCGGGGUUCAGCCAGCACUCGUGCUGGUGUACUUCCCCGGGGGCGGGCCAGCGUCGGUUUGGGCGGCCGGUCAAAGGCCCCAGGAAUGUAUCGCCCUCCGGGGUUGUCUUAUAGCCUGGGGUGCAAUGCGGCCAGCCCGGACCGAGGAACGCGCUUCGGCACGGACGCUGGCGUAAUGGUCGCAAACGACCCGUCUUGAAACACGGACCAAGGAGUCUAACAUCUACGCGAGUGUUCGGGUGUCAAACCCGUACGCGCAGUGAAAGCGAACGGAGGUGGGAGCCCCCCCGGGGCGCACCAUCGACCGAUCCUGAUGUCUUCGGAUGGAUUUGAGUAAGAGCGUAGCUGUGGGGACCCGAAAGAUGGUGAACUAUGCCUGAAUAGGGCGAAGCCAGAGGAAACUCUGGUGGAGGCUCGCAGCGGUUCUGACGUGCAAAUCGAUCGUCAAAUUUGGGUAUAGGGGCGAAAGACU
rnacentral:rRNA from 1 species